GCUGCCACUGUUAAUCGUAAACAUUGAUUCUCAAUUGUUUGUUACUAAUAUAGCCAUUGUCGCAAACGUUCACCUGGGUCGUGUGUUUUAAAACUUUGCUCUUCGUCCCACGAAUACUGGCUGUGUACACUCCUGUUACUGGUAAUAGUGUGGCUGCGGAGGACAUGUGCCGUGUAGUGCUGAUGGCUGUGAGGGGAGUCAUGCUGCUGCUCAACAAACCAUGCCACCAGAGGAAAGGCGGCUGCAGCCACCUGUGCUUGAUGAGGGGGCAGAAGCAGAUGAGGUUUGUGGGACAACGGCUUCUGAGACUUAGACCCUGAGCAGGAUUCAAAAUCUGGAUCUGCUUCUUAAAAGUAACUUGGAAAUAUUACGGGGCACUUUUUAUGAAUAGUAAAUCUUUGUUGGAAAGAAACAGUUUGAAGGCUGAGUAAUUUCUCAUUGACAAAAACUUGAAAUGAGUGGUCAAUAAAACUUAGUAGCAAACAUUCCAGAUAAAAUUAUAUAUAAGUGGCAAUUUCAUGAUGAAAACUACCCAAGAACUUUAUAAAUCCAGAAAGUGCACAUGGCUAUAAAUAAGUGAAAUGAGUAGCAUGUUAAUCCAGGGUGUAUACACCUAGGCAACCAAAAAAUCUAGAAAAAAACAGGAAUUUUUUUUAGAAUAUGGGAAUUUUUCAUUUAGUUUUCAGUUAAAUUUCUGUUUAUUGGUAACAACCAAUACUUCAACAACAACAAAAUUACUUUAGCCACUACCGUACGAUAAUCCUGUAGCAAUAAAACAUAAGAGAAUAACACAAAAAUAAAACUUUAAUUGCAAAGAAAAUGUGCCAUUUAUUACAAGAAAACAAUGUGCACACAAAAGCAUCUGCUGACAGCAAAAUGUCAAAGGCUUCAUGAUGAUGACUACACAAUACUUAGUAACAACAAACUGCUUGCUGUGAGAUUGACAGUAUAGAGCAGAAGUUUUUAUGAUCAGUGUUUUUCCUUUCCACAGGUGUGCCACCUGAAGGAGAAGCUCUGUACUGUCAUGGUGGCGGCCAAAUGUGGCAGCAGGAUUGGCAACAUCACAGUCAAUACACUUGUUUAUGAGUAUAUGAGAAGAAAGGGUAAAUGUGCUGUCAGGUCUCACAAUUUGUGCAAGAUAGAGAAUUAAAAAAAUUCUUAAGACUUUCAAACUGGUGACAAGAAGUUACUCCAGUCUCAUUUCUCCAUUAGGAAAAGUAGUUAACUUUCUUGUAGCUCAACUUGAGGUGAUUAGUGGGUUAUCAGUGUUGUUUGCCUUCUUAUAUGAAGUGUACUUUAUUCUUCACAAUUUGCCCUAUGUCUAGUGGGAUCAUUUUUUUUUACCCUAGUCAGCUGUUCUCGAGACCCACCCAAGCGCAAAAAUACUUUUUGCCCAUUUAUUGGAGAUUGAAGACUUACGUCUUGCUCCAGCAGCCAGAGAUGGCAUAAAGCUUACAUGUUCAGUAGUCUUUGUCGUGUGUGUCUGUGACUCAACAACUCUGCCAUACAGUGAGCAGCAUUCUACCCUUUUCAUAAUACAUCAGAGUCCCGCUAAUCCAAACACUGGUAAUCUGAAUGUUCGGUUAAUCCGAACAUGAAAAAUGUUGAUCUAAGUACAGAAAACUGUGCGGUAAAAUGCUGUGCAUACACACUAUUUUCAUUUACGCAGUACAGUAAACGUGUAUUAGGAAAAUUGGCAUGAAAACAUUAGGUUUAAACAAUGCAUAACAAUGAAAGAAAAGCUGUCAAAUUUACUAAAAUACAGCGGACAUUUUACCCCUACUUUUUAGAUGACAAAAACUCAAUCAUUGUUUUUGGGGGUAAUGAAGACAGUUUGGUAGAUGACGCAUAGUUGCGCCAUCAUCUCAUGAACAUCAAAUCAGCAGGUGUAGCAGUGGGCAGUUGCUCCAAAUAACAUAAGACGAGGUCAAGGGCUAUUGCUGCAUCACUGUGUGGCACCAGCUCUCCUUUGUCCCUUUCAGGCACAUUGCCACUUCUGUCACAGCAGUCCACUUCUUCCUGGUCUUGAGUCACAGCAGCAACAAAAUUAGCGUAAGUAAGGUUGUGCCCCAUCCGCUGCCAUACACUCAUCUACGUCUCCUUCACUAGCUUCUUCACAUCCAGGGAUUGUCGGUAUCAUUUGUAGUAGAUUUUCCACUUCACUUUCAACUAGGCUGUCCUGAAAUUCAAGAGAUGUCCACAGUUUUCUCCACUAUUUUCUCAGAGUAUUUUCUGAAAUGUUCUGUCAUGCCUCAGUGGCCCAAUAAACAACAUCCUUCACAUUGGUCUUUUUAUUUUGUCCACUAAAGGAAUGCUAUAGUCUUGGAUCAGCAUUCUUAAAAAUUGUUUCCUGUAAAUGGUUGCAGUACGCCCUGGUCCAUCGGCUGUAGAAGUGGUGUAACAUUAGGCGGCAGAAACUUCGGCAUAGUUUCUCCAUCACAUAAUUCCUCAGUGCUGGGGUGAGAUAAAUGAUUUUCCUUAGUAAACCAUCUAACAGAGGGAACAAACUGGCCGUGAAACCAUUUUGAGCAGCUUAUCAUCCAUCUGUGUUUUUUUCUGGUUGCAAUAAUAUACGGGCAGGGACUUCAUGUUGCAGUUUUUAAAGGUUCUGGGCCUAGCAGAUUUGCUGAUCAGCAUUAAAGGCAGCUUGUGAUUACCAGCAGCAUUGCUGCGUGCUAAUAAAGUUACACGAUCUUUGCACAUUUUAAAACCAGGAGCAUGGUCUUCUGCUUUUGAUGCCAGGCUUUUUGUUGGCAAUGCCCUAAAAUCAAGGCCAGUCUUGUCAGCAUUAUAUAUUUGUUGGGGAGAAUACUUUCCCUCUCUUUUCAUUUUUUCAAACUCACCCAAGUAUUCCUUCACUGCAUCAUGGUCAGAAUAUAUCCAGUAAUUGUUAGCUGACGGAUUCUAAGACUUUUUUGAAUCUGUCCAACCAUCCCGUACUCGCACUAAAAGACUCAUCACCAUUCGUUAACUUGUUCAGGUAAACAGCCUUCUCCUGAACCAGUGCUCCACUCAAAGGAGUUCCCCUUUCUCUUUUCUGCGUAAACCAAAGGGAAAGAGUUUCAUCCACUUAAUCGUACUAGGACUGUUUGAAAAUCUGCCAAAUUUUGAGUGUUUUUCCCGAAGAUGUUGCAUAGAACUGUUCAAGCUAUACUCGGUUCUUCUUCCAAUCACAAAUGGUUGCUUUACAACACCCAGUUCCUUUGCCAGUUUAGAUACAUUCUUACCAUCCUCUAUCCACUUCAAAGAAUUCAGUUUUUCUUUGAGAGUCGACGUUUACUCAUGACAAAAAUACAUAUACCACACCACCUGAACGAAUACAGUACAGCAGUUACGUGUGCCAGCGAUCGAUAACUAACAUAACCAAGCACUUUGCGAGCCAGCUGACAGUGCACUGACCGCAGACACUACAAAGGUCUCAACAAUGCACAACAAGGGCAGGGAGUGAGAGUGAGCCAUUGUUACCAUGGUGUACCCACUUAUCUGCUUGGUAUACUUCAUUUUGAAACUCAUCACUGUAAUUCUGGCUAAUCUGAACAAAUCAGUAAUCAGAACAAGGCCCGGUCCCAAUUAGUUCGGAUUAUCGGGACUCUACUGUAUUGUUAUUAUUCCAUCCUGGAUUUUCCAUUGUUUCAUUGUGAUUCCAAAGUCCAUGAUUUAGUGUAGGAUUUUGAGUUUUCAGGAGAUUGUAAUAUUUUCGGUACCAAUAUCUUGUUGAGACAGGAAAUUUCCUUAACUUUUAAAUUUUAUAUGAUUAGUGGAAUAGUUAAAUUAUUCCACUCACUGAUUUGUCGAAAAGUGAGUUGCACAGGCCACAGAAGCUGAUCCAGUUCUUAACACUUUGCUAACAUAUAUUUGCACAUAUUUCCCUCACUCACUCAAUAGCAUAAAGAACUUCGCUGUGCGCUGAUACGUUGCACGUCGGCAUAGCCUCACUGUACAGAAAAGAUUAAUUCUUGUUCAAAAUGACACUGGACAGUCGUGUGUUGAUCUCUAAAGCUUUGUAAAAAGAAGUGUUGCAGUUUUCACGAAUGACACUGGUGGAUCGUUUGUACGAACCAGUUAGCACGUCGACACCGUACUUGGGAGGGUAUGAACAGUAACUAGAACAGAUGACGUUACAGUGUCAUGCGUGUGUGGAAAAUCAGUCUGUUCUUCCACAAAAAUUCUCUGCUUGGCCUACAUUGCAAUCACCACGGCAAUGUGUUACAUAGACUUUGCGGGAUCUUUUUGGAACACUGGCUGGUUAGUUGUGGAUGACUCGUAUAGCAAGUUUCCUUUUGCUGUGCCAAUGAACUCGACAACGUUGCAUACUACAAUUCAGGUGUUGUCAUCAAUUUUUUGCCUCGAAGGUUUACCUGAAGUUAUAGUGUCAGGCAAUGGCCCUCGGUUCAUGUCAAAUGAAUCUGAAACAUUCUUUGAAUGAAAUAGCAUACAGCACCCCACUAGUGCACCGUUCCAUCCACAGUCAAACGGAGAAGCGGAAUGUUUUGUCAGAAUCUUCAAGCAGCAGACGGCCAAACCGCGCUCUGCACACAUCAGGGAUCAACUGUUUCUCACCUCAUAUCAAUCGCACCCAUGAGAUGGACCAUCCCCAGUGUAACUGCUUCAUGGCUUCGCCCUUCGCUUGUGACACCAUUGUAAAUUGAAAGUUAAGUUUUGUCAAACUUUUUUAUGGUAAUAAAAAUUAUUAAUGUGAUUUGCUUGAAUUGUUGAAUCCUUUAGGCACCCUGUAAGCGAUGAGUGAGCAGGCCCCUCAGUCAGUGUACCUUGUGACUGAACUGUGGUAAUGUUCCUAUGUAUUUUUGCACCCAGUCAUAACACAAAUAAGUGACUUCUUGAGGAGAUUCAUUUCCAUAAUGUGUGAGGUCAUCCAACUUAUCUCUCUGACUUCCUUCACAAUACACAUUAAAAAACUUGUAUGAUUGAUGCACUUUAUAUAAUUUGAAGCAUGUGAACUAGCUGCAGCAGAAUAGUUUGAAAGGACUGUUUCUCCCUCCUGUAACUCUGCUUUCAUGUUCAGUUGUCUUUGUAUGGCAUUUGUUACAUUUAAAAGAUUAAAAAGGUGUCUUGUCACAUACCCCAAAUAUAUGAUAUUUUUUGCCACACAAUAAGGGUUCCUUGUAUUCAAUAUUGCUAUCGGCUCUUUUUCAAUGAUUACAAAUAAAACACACUACUUUUGCUUCUGUUCUGUAGACCUAGACCAGAAAAGCAUACAACCACAGCCCCCACAGGGUUAAGAUAAAUAUUGCACAUAUAUGGUGCAACUGUUGCUGUUUAUGCAUUAAGACUGUGAUAUUCUAACUUCUGUGGUGAUGCAGCCCUCCUGUGCAGUUACUACAGAAGUUCAAUAUGGUACAGUGUUACACUGCCUCAUUAAUCAAAAUGAAUAUAGAAUGAAAUUUCACUCUACAGCGGAGUUUGCACUGAUAUAAAACUUCGUGGCAGAUUAAAACUGUGUGCCGGAUCGAGACUCUAACUCGAGACCUUUGCCUCUUGCGGGCAAGUGCUCUACUG